rnacentral:lncRNA from 1 species
CUCGUUCAAUAUGGAAGUCGGACAACAGAACAUUAAUUUGAACAAGUAGAAAUAAAGCAACAACAAAAAUAUUAGUGUACCUGUUGUUUGUACAAUAGUUGGCUGAUUGCAGGAUAAAGGAAAUAUAAUAUAAGCGAAUAUACAAACACCGUUUAACUUUAUUUAAAAACGUUGAUCGAUUAACUGAUAAUUGCAUGCUUAACGUUUAGUUGCAUGUUUUUGAAAUACAAAAAAAGUAGCAGUUUAUACUGUAUAGCUGUCCAUUAUUAAGUAUCCUUCAAGGCAACGUAUUUAUUCGUAUACUAGAUAACAUUUUACAAAUAGAACUAGACAGAUGCAUCUUAUACUAGAUAAGGGAUCCUCCAUUUGAUUUUUAUGGGGGAGGGGGGGGGGGGGUGCUAGGAUGAAAUUUGAAAAAAAUAGGCAGGACAGGAGUUUUGAGUUAAAAAAAAAAAAGGCAGGAUGAGACACUUGCAAAAAAGUCAGGAUGACAAUUUAUGUAAAAAAAGUCAGGAUAAACUAAGAAAAAAAAAGCAGGACCGGAUAAAGUGAAAAAUAAAAAGGCAGGACAGAGAUUAAAACUAAAAAAAAUGCAGGACAAGAUUUUUCAUCCUAGCCCCCCCCCCC